CCUUGGACUGAUGCUUAGCGGUGCCAGGGAUCCCCUGCUCCAGUAUUGCCUUGAUCGGGAAAAUGCUGGGGACUCCCCGUUCAGACGCAGAGAGCCACCACUGCCAAGGCGUGUCGGGCAAUGCUGCGCUGGUGCCCCCGGGAGCCGUCCGUGAGGAGACCCCCAGAUGCCCCCAACCCGUUUCUGGAAGAUUCUGAGAGGGCAGACUGCGCAUGACAUCUAAUCUGUAUGGGAAGUAAGGAAGCACCUCCCAGAGGUGGGGCAAGAACCUUUAAAAACUGCAGACUGGGUGAAUAGUGGGGGAUGGUGGCUUGUUUGUGAUGGCCGAAGAUCUUGAGUGGAGUUAGUGGAACAUCAUCGGACUUGGAGUGGUGGUAGCUAGUUUCUUUUUUCCUUUUCCAACUUUCUCUAUCUUUUCCCCUUACCCUUGUUCUCUUCUCCCCUUUGCCUUUCCCCACCUUUUCUCCCCACUCUGUUGAAAAUAAAAGUUAAAAGGUUGUACAAUA